GUCCGGGCUCGCCCAUGCGCGUUGUCGGGGAGCGUGGGGAGACAGUCCGUCUAUCCCGUGGCUUUGCCCAGAGUGCAGAAUGGAAUCGCCCGCGGGAGCCAGGAGGCAGUCAGCGCCUGCGCAGUGUCCGGGUGCCGCUUCCUUGCUACCCGCAGCGAACCUCGGUUUCCGCCGACCGGAACCACCGGAGGGUUGUCCCGGCUUUCUAUCGGAAGUAUGAGCAGGUGUACCUGCCUAAUUGGAGUCCCUAACCGCUAGUCCUGUCUAUAUUCCUAACUCUUAAAUGUCGAGGCUGGUGCAUGGGGAAGCUGAUGCUGGAGGAGCGCCGCGAGUUCCAGACGAGUUUGAACUACAAACAAAUAAUGUUUAAAGGAAGAGUCCUGAGGCCAUGGGUAAAGUGUUUGCAGUGCAAACCUGAGGACCUGAGUUGGGAUCUCUGGCACUGGUUUAAAGCUGACCCACCCCUAGUGGCGCAGGCCCAUAACUGCAGCACUAUGGUGGGUGGACACACGAGGACACCCGCGUGUGCUUGCCGGCUAAUGGAGUUGAAAAGCAGAGCUCCGGGCUCAGUAAGAGAUGGCGUCUCAAGGGAAUAAGCUCCCAGACCUGCUGCUCUCUGUGGAUCGCCCCUCUUUAGUGGGUCUUUUGGAUCCCAGACUGGCCUUGAACAACUUGUGUCAUGGAGAGCAUCUAUCCACCUCCUGUGUACUGGGAUUACAGGUCACCACCCAGGGUCCUCCUCCAGAUCCUCUUGCCUUGGAACAGAAUAAAGAAGACUCCCUUCUCUCUCAGAUCUGAGGAAGACAAGGCAUCAUUGCCUGACAAGCAGCUUCCUUUUUACUGCUGGUUUCCCUCCCGGCCAUUUAUCGGCCUCCUCUACGCCUCCCCCACCUUGCACAAUCUAGCUUUGUUUUCUUUACAGCCUUGGCUUGAAAUCAUGUGUUUGUGUUGAUUUGGUCUCCUGACCCCUAUCUGUGCCUCCCCAACUUUUAGGAUAAAAGCUCCACUGGGCUGAGAAUUUUGUCCUCAUCGCUAAUGGAACAGAGUAAUUACAAAGAUGCUGGGAGCUGCUCGACAUCCUCUGCAAAAGAGGAAACUGUGGCUCACAACCUUCUGAAACACAGCAGGGAAGAGGGCGGGGCAGAGUAGGACUCGAGCCGGCAGCGGCAUCAUGACCCCGGCAUCCAGGAGAUGCCUGGCGGUGUCCCGGGAGCCUGGGUGGUCUUGGC
rnacentral:lncRNA from 1 species